rnacentral:rRNA from 1 species
UACGGAGGGGGCUAGCGUUGUUCGGAAUUACUGGGCGUAAAGCGCACGUAGGCGGCUUUGUAAGUUAGAGGUGAAAGCCCUGGGCUCAACCCAGGAAGUGCACUCGAAACUGUCAGGCUUGAAUAUGGAAGAGGGUCGCGGAAUUCCCGGUGUAGAGGUGAAAUUCGUAGAUAGUCGGGAGGAACACCAGUGGCGAAGGGCGGCGACCUGGGCCAAUAUUG